GCCGGGCGCAGUGGUGUGUGCCUGUAGUCCCAGCUAUUCGGGAGGCUGAGGCUGGAGGAUCUCUUGAGCCCAGGAGUUCUGGGCUGUAGUACCCUAUGCCAAUCGGGUGUCCGCACUAAGUUCGGCAUCAAUAUGGUGAACUCCCAGGAGCGGGGGACCACCAGGUUGCCUAAAAAGGGUUGAACUAGCCCGGGUCGGAAACGGAGCAGGUCAAAACUCCUGUGCUGAUCAGUAGUGGGACCGUGCCUGUGAACAGCCACUGCACUCUAGCCUGGGCAAAAUAGUGAGACCCUAUCUCU
rnacentral:SRP_RNA from 1 species